rnacentral:rRNA from 1 species
ACAUAUCAAUAAGCGGAGGAAAAGAAACCAACAGGGAUUGCCCUAGUAACGGCGAGUGAAGCGGCAACAGCUCAAAUUUGAAAUCUGGCUCUUUCAGAGUCCGAGUUGUAAUUUGCAGAGGGCGCUUUGGCUUUGGCAGCGGUCCAAGUUCCUUGGAACAGGACGUCACAGAGGGUGAGAAUCCCGUACGUGGUCGCUAGCUAUUGCCGUGUAAAGCCCCUUCGACGAGUCGAGUUGUUUGGGAAUGCAGCUCUAAAUGGGAGGUAAAUUUCUUCUAAAGCUAAAUAUUGGCCAGAGACCGAUAGCGCACAAGUAGAGUGAUCGAAAGAUGAAAAGCACUUUGGAAAGAGAGUCAAACAGCACGUGAAAUUGUUGAAAGGGAAGCGCUUGCAGCCAGACUUGCUUGCAGUUGCUCAUCCGGGCUUUUGCCCGGUGCACUCUUCUGUAGGCAGGCCAGCAUCAGUUUGGGCGGUGGGAUAAAGGUCUCUGUCACGUACCUCUCUUCGGGGAGGCCUUAUAGGGGAGACGACAUACCACCAGCCUAGACUGAGGUCCGCGCAUCUGCUAGGAUGCUGGCGUAAUGGCUGUAAGCGGCCCGUCUUGAAACACGGACCAAGGAGUCUAACAUCUAUGCGAGUGUUUGGGUGUCAAGCCCGAGCGCGUAAUGAAAGUGAACGGAGGUGGGAACCCGCAAGGGUGCACCAUCGACCGAUCCUGAAGUUUACGGAAGGAUUUGAGUAAGAGCAUGGCUGUUGGGACCCGAAAGAUGGUGAACUAUGCUUGAAUAGGGUGAAGCCAGAGGAAACUCUGGUGGAGGCUCGCAGCGGUUCUGACGUGCAAAUCGAUCGUCAAAUUUGGGCAUAGGGGCGAAAGACUAAUCGAACUAUCUAGUAGCUGGUCUGC